GGCUUCCAGGUGCCGUUCAUAGUGCUGCCGGGCUCGCUCUUCUCUUUCCAGCCAGACGAUCUCUCGUGCAGCUUUGGGGGCAGCAAACAGGGAGAGCCAACACAGGCAAGCUUAGGACUUGACUAGCUAGUGCUGGCCUCCUGACUCCAGUCUGAGCCUUGCUCUCCAGCAAUGUUUUCCCUCCUUCCUGUUCCGGUUCGGUCUCCAGCUAAACCACUCUUGAAGGCAGCGGCUUCACACCUGACAGACAUGCAUGUCCUAACGUCCUUUGAAGUCUGGGUGGCGGGAGCAGGAAAGGGUAGAUCUGAGACCAUCGGUCCUCUGAUGGCGGCAUGUGAAGAGACCUGCAACACAUGAUCUUCUGAAGGGCCUUCUUGACAUGUACCACGAGCUCUAGCUUUUCCUAAUCUCCCAUUUCUACGUAGCAAAAGACAGCCCUCCUCCCUUCCCCACUUGAAGUGGAGCCCCUAUUGCAGGGCUCCACGCUCCCCCACGCCCAAAACACAACAAUUGUCUGUCAACAGUCACACAGAGAAUAGGCAAACAAUGUUGGAAAAGCAAAUAUUACUUUCUGGUCAUCUUAGAGCCUGCUGGUGAGUGCCAGGAUGAGCUGCUAAAGGAAGAAAGAGCCUCAUCAAGCAGGCAUGGACCAAAACCCUGAUCUGGGCGUCCCUGACUCCAGACUGUGAGAAAACAGAGUUCUGAUGCUGAAAUCACCCGGCCAAUGGAAUUCUGUGAGGGCAGCAGCC